rnacentral:rRNA from 1 species
GAUGAACGCUGGCGGCGUGCCUAAUACAUGCAAGUCGAGCGAACGGACGAGAAGCUUGCUUCUCUGAUGUUAGCGGCGGACGGGUGAGUAACACGUGGAUAACCUACCUAUAAGACUGGGAUAACUUCGGGAAACCGGAGCUAAUACCGGAUAAUAUUUUGAACCACAUGGUUCAAAAGUGAAAGACGGUCUUGCUGUCACUUAUAGAUGGAUCCGCGCUGCAUUAGCUAGUUGGUAAGGUAACGGCUUACCAAGGCAACGAUGCAUAGCCGACCUGAGAGGGUGAUCGGCCACACUGGAACUGAGACACGGUCCAGACUCCUACGGGAGGCAGCAGUAGGGAAUCUUCCGCAAUGGGCGAAAGCCUGACGGAGCAACGCCGCGUGAGUGAUGAAGGUCUUCGGAUCGUAAAACUCUGUCAUUAGGGAAGAACAUAUGUGUAAGUAACUGUGCACAUCUUGACGGUACCUAAUCAGAAAGCCACGGCUAACUACGUG